rnacentral:pre_miRNA from 1 species
AGACUUGCAUUGUUACAAAUAUAAAGUUUACUAGAGUAACAAUGCAAAUCUCUAGUAAACUUUAUAUUUGUAACAAUGCAAGUCU